GUAGUUAUGGCCGAGUGGUUAAGGUGAUAGGCUUGAAAUCCAUUGAGGGUUUCCCUGGGCAGGUUUGAAUCCUGCCAAUUACA